UGCAUAAACAGGAGAACUUUAUAAAUACCAGCUUCUGUAUAAUAAAAUUGGCUUCACUUGAUCAUAUUGAUCAUGGUGUGAUGUCCCAUUCUUGAUCCUCUGCACCGCAUUUUUUGGUGACCGAAGUGACAUAAUAGCGUCCAAGGGACCCGAAGAUGGCAACUUGGCUGCUGUGCAGAGGAUUGGCGACAGGCUUCGGGAUGCGGGGAAGUCGUCGAAAGUGUCCUCACUGCCCUUCUACUCAAAGGGAGUAGAAGUCUGGAACGUUCCAGGUGAAGACGACUUGAAUCUCGCCCUGAUCAGAUAAAGGUAUUCACUGGGUGUCAGCUAAGUGGGUAAAGCCCUACUUGAAAACACGGACAUCAGCCCAUGCUAUCCCAAGAGGCAGAAUAUCGACAAUUGCACUGAGUCCAGACACAUUUGGAUCCACUUCUCCAACACCUGACGGCUGACCAACACUCAGAAUUUUUCCCACAGCUGCUGGAGAUUGCAGGAGCAGGACGGCUACCUGGAUCUAGAGUAACUGUAACCGGUACUGAUGCUUUACCACCACUUCCAUCACAGAUUAUAAAUCAGAUUGAAAGUGCUUGUCCUGCACAUGGCUAUGCAUGUAAGCCAUGGCUUCAGGUUCAUUGUAUAAAACAUAAUUUGAAAACACGGUAGCAAGAAAACAAUCUAACCUUAGCUCAAAAGAAAAAGCAGAAAAUUAGUUCCACUAACUUAGCAUGCAAUAGAUGCUUUAACGUACUUAACAUACUUACCCCAGAAAGUGCACUAGCAAUAUUUUUAGGGCCUAAUAAUCAAAGACAGCCUCCACCUGCCCCUCUUAGGAGAAUGCUUUUACAGCAAUGGAAUUUUAGCUAGGAUUUGUCUUUGAUAGAAACACAAGACCAAAGAGGGCUGUUUUGGAUUCAAUUGUACUUGGCUAGACAAACCAUAGCAAAUCAGAUUAUAUUGCAAAGUCAGAUAACAGCUACUGAGUGUGGAGAAAGAAUAGCAAUACCACAAAGACAGUACAUUUCUGAUAAUCAGUGGGACGAGGCAAAAGACUAUUGGGCAAGGUGUAGGUGUGAUUAACAACGAUGGCAAUGGCAAUAGUUUGGCAGGUAAUAACAAUGAUAAUCAGUGCAAUGAUCGGGGAAACACAGGGAUUAUAUAACAUUGAACAUUGAACUAACAUGUGGGUCACAUGGGCCAACAAAACAGGGCAGAAAUCCUUUUGCUUAUCAUUGGCUACACCCUCUGAUCCAUUUUGUACAUGUUUAAUUGGUGUUCCAUUAGACUCCUUGGAAGAAUUUGGACAUUGGACAGAGCCCCAAUUUAUAACAACUUAAGUAAGGCCUAGUCGAGCUGGUGUACGAGUCAAAACGGGAUCAUUACCAAAAAUCAAUGUAAAAACCUGGGAAUCCACAGAAACCCUCUAGGCGUCCAAGCAUUUACAAUUGUUUGAGAGUUAAAUACUACAAGUAUGGAACCACAGGAAUUGGAUCUUUUAGGAUCUACGCCUGGGAAUUAUUGUUUUUUGGGAAUUACAAAAGUAAAAACAUGGUCUGUGAAAAGUUAGGAAAACCAAGAAAUGAUAGCACUUGGAUAUCUCCUGUUUCUUCGGGGUAUUACAAUACUACGGCAUACUGUGCCAAUUGGAUAUGGCCUGUACCCCCAAAGCAUAAAUCAGCAAGGAUGCUACCUCCUGGAGUUUUCCUUAUUUGUGGGGAUAGAGCCUAGCCUGCAGUACCUCAGAAAGCAUUGGGAGGACCAUGCUAUUUUGGGAAAUUAACAUUAUUUGCCCCUAGCAUCCAACAGUUGCUUAACAUCGGUCACAAGUCUCAGCGUUCAAAACAUAGCGUACAUCAAUUAGGCCCUGAAUGUAGAAAUUAUAUACAAUUGUGGAAUUCACCAUCACUUAUACUAGCCUCAAUUUUUGCACCAGGAAUAGCCUCAGCACAGGCCCUUACACAGUUGAGGCAAUUGGCAUGUUGGGCAGGGAAACAAAUUAACAUUACAUCCAUGGUAUUGAAUGAAAUCACCACUGAUGUAGGUAGCAUACGCCGCACCGUGUUACAAGAUAGAGCUGCCAUACAUUUUUUAUUGCUGGCACAAGGACAUGGGUGUGAAGAUUUUGAAGGAAUGUGUUGCAUGAAUCUUUCUAAUCACUCUGGAUCCAUUCACAAGAAGCUUUCACAGCUUAAAGAGAAUAUGAAAAAGCUCACAGUUGUUGAGAACUCUUUUGACGAAUGGCUAAAAUCUUGAGGCAUAACAGGCUGGCUUAAGCACUUAGUAUGCUUUGGCAUUAUGGUGCUUUGCAUUAUUUUAGCAAUUUUGCUUAUAGUGCCUUGCUUAUUACAAUGUGUGCAGAGAAUAACUGAAUGAGCUAUUAAGUCAGUCUGGCUUGUGCAAAGACAAGAAGGGGGAAUUGUUGAGGAUUUUUUGCAGGACAAUGGUCACAUUCAGCAGAUGCACAAUCCAGCCUUCUGGUAACAAAGUAACCCGUUCAAGAAACGAGGUCAGUGAAUCCUUGACAACAGGAAAAAAGAAGAAGAGUCAGAAGGUUCAGCAAAGUUUAAAAAAUAAAAAAGAGAACUAAGGGUAGGCCAGACGACCAAAGCAAGAUGAGUGAAGAAUCGGGUGAUCCAAUCAGCAUUUAAUUUUAGACGUAUGGACAGUUAGGAUUAACCAAUCAUGUAUUAGUUAGAAGUGCAUGAACAGCAGAACUUUAUAAAUACCGGCUUCUGUAUAAUAAAAUUGGCUUCACUUGACCAUGUUCA